rnacentral:rRNA from 1 species
CGGACGGGUGAGUAACGCGUGGGCAACCUACCCCACACAGGGGGACAACAGUUGGAAACGACUGCUAAUACCGCAUAGGCGCACAGCUUCGCAUGAAGCAGUGUGGAAAACCGAGGUGGUGUGGGAUGGGCCCGCGUCUGAUUAGCUGGUUGGCGGAGUAACGGCCCACCAAGGCGACGAUCAGUAGCCGGCCUGAGAGGGUGGACGGCCACAUUGGGACUGAGACACGGCCCAAACUCCUACGGGAGGCAGCAG